UACUUUGCGCAGUGGCAGUAUCGUAGCCAAUGAGGUUAAUCCGAGGCGCGAUUAUUGCUAGUUGAAAUCUUUUGCAUAAGGCG
rnacentral:snRNA from 1 species